rnacentral:rRNA from 1 species
UUCGCCCUUAGAGUUUGAUCCUGGCUCAGAGCGAACGCUGGCGGCAGGCUUAACACAUGCAAGUCGAGCGGGCCCUUCGGGGUCAGCGGCAGACGGGUAAGUAACGCGUGGGAACGUGCCCUUCGGUUCGGAAUAACUCAGGGAAACUUGAGCUAAUACCGGAUACGUGCUUAGGCAGAAAGGUUUACUGCCGAAGGAUCGGCCCGCGUCUGAUUAGCUGGUUGGUGAGGUUAUGGCUCACCAAGGCGACGAUCAGUAGCUGGUCUGAGAGGAUGAUCAGCCACACUGGGACUGAGACACGGCCCAGACUCCUACGGGAGGCAGCAGAAGGG